UACGUAGGGGGCUAGCGUUGUCCGGAAUCAUUGGGCGUAAAGCGCGUGUAGGCGGUCCGGUAAGUCCGCUGUGAAAGUCGGGGGCUCAACCCUCGGAUGCCGGUGGAUACUGUCGGGCUUGAGUACGGAAGAGGCGAGUGGAAUUCCUGGUGUAGCGGUGAAAUGCGCAGAUAUCAGGAGGAACACCAAUUGCGAAGGCAGCUCGCUGGGACGUUACUGACGCUGAGACGCGAAAGCGUGGGGAGCAAACAAG
rnacentral:rRNA from 1 species